ensembl:lncRNA
UCUGCCUCUUGUCCUGUAGUGUUUGUUAAGGAUUCAUGCUUGAGUGGGUAUAUGCGCGUCUUGCUCAUCAUAAAAGGUUGCAGGCCGGAUUCACAUUGUACCUCAGUUAGUUCUCUAGAGCAACUCUUAAAGGCAGAUACUGUCCUUAUUUUGCAAAAGAUAAAACUAAAAACGCCAUGACUUAACGCCUGGCCAUGAGUCGCCCAGGGAAUUUGAAAUGACCCUGGGACUCAAACCUGUAUAUUUUGGCUUCCAUUUCUGUAUUUCUCCCUUCCAGGUCUGGUGUCCCCUGAGAAAGACCUCUCCCCCAACUUGUUAGCAUUCCAGGGAGAUUCUUGAGGGUGCCCUCAGCCAAUCCCUCAUGUCUCUGGUCACCAUAGACUUAGGUGACCACUCCCCAGCUCCGAGGUUCCUGGGAAAAAUAAGCCACUCCCAAGCUCCGAGGUUCCUGGGAAAAAUAAGCCAAGGGAUGUACCCGAACUGUUUCUGGGGGCCUAGGAAUCAGGAGGUGGGUAAAAGAUGACAGGUGGGUCAAAAACCCAGGUAGAAUCCUGAGUAAGGACACAGAAGCUCCAAGAGGGGCAGUCUCCAUUCCAGGACUUAGGUCCAGGUCUCUCUGCUCUCCGAACAGGGCUCUUUUCACCGCAGGAUUGUUUUUCUCGGAACGACUGCCUUGGCUAUAAUUCCUAGUCCUUUUCCCUCUCUGGAAAGGAAGGAAGCCAAAAAGGGAGUGUGAGGGGGGAGCAGCCUAAGACAUUAGAAGGACAGAAACCACCAAGUGGGUGGUGCCCAUAAGGCCCCAGUGCCCGCUGAGUCAGUGACCUCCAGGCUCAAAUUGGGCCAUGUGGUCUGACGACCGAUGACUAUUUAAAUCCUGACUGUGGCCACUGGGUGCUGGGAGGCAGCAGGUGCUAUGCAGAGGUCAAUGACUUUAGGGCAGACUAACCUAAGAUUAGGAGAAGGCAAUGGCACCCCACUCCAGUACUCUUGCCUGGAAAAUCCCAAGGACGGAGGAGCCUGGUAGGCUGCAGGCCAUGGUGUCGCUAAGAGUUGGAUAGGACUGAGCGACUUCACUUUCACUUUUCACUUUCAUGCAUUGGAGUAGGAGAUGGCAACCCACUCCAGUGUUCUUGCCUGGAGAAUCCCAGGGACGGCAGAGCCUGGUGGGCUGCCGUCUAUGGGGUUGCACGGAGUCGAACACGACUGAAGUGACUCAGCAGCAGGAGCAACCUAAGAUUGAAUCCAAGCUCCACUACUUUGUAACUAACUCUCAGCCUCACCCAGGUCUUCUCUAAAAUGGGGACAACAUAGCAGUUGUGAGGAUUCAAUAAGUUAAUUGUGGAAUUAAUGAGUCAUGUGUGUAAAGUGCCUGAUAGCUAUUUAUUCAUUCAUGGAUUCAUCCAUUCAGUAAAAAAAUGAUUACACAUCAACCAUGUGUAGGGCAGCCUGCCAGCGGUAUAGCUACAGUGGUAAGCAAACCAGACUCAUACCUUCAUGGGGCUUACAGUUUGAUGAGGAAGCAAGUUGUUAAAUGAUCAGACAAAUCAAAACUUAUGAUAAGGAAUAAGGAGGCAAAGUACAAUGUGUUUAUGAGAGUGAAUGUCAGGAAUUGAGAUGGGGUCUCAGGAAGCUUCCUGAAGAGGUGAGUCGAUGAAUGGGGAUUAACUAAGCCG